rnacentral:rRNA from 1 species
UACGGGGGGGGGCAAGCGUUGUUCGGAAUUACUGGGCGUAAAGGGCUCGUAGGCGGCCAACUAAGUCAGACGUGAAAUCCCUCGGCUUAACCGGGGAACUGCGUCUGAUACUGGAUGGCUUGAAUCCGGGAGAGGGAUGCGGAAUUCCAGGUGUAGCGGUGAAAUGCGUAGAUAUCUGGAGGAACACCGGUGGCGAAGGCGGCAUCCUGGACCGGCAUUGACGGCUGAUGAGCGAAAGCCAGGGGAGCAAAACGGGG